UACGUAGGCAGCAAGCGUUAUUCGGAUUCACUGGGCGUAAAGGGUGCGCAGGCGGCCAAGUGUGUGAGGUGUGAAAGCCCGGGGCUUAACCCCGGAAUUGCACCUCAAACUACUUGGCUAGAGCAUUGGAGAGGGUAGCAGAAUUCACGGUGUAGCAGUGAAAUGCGUAGAUAUCGUGAGGAAUACCAGAGGCGAAGGCGGCUACCUGGACAAUUGCUGACGCUCAGGCACGAAAGCGUGGGGAGCAAAAGGG
rnacentral:rRNA from 1 species